AUUACCUAUAUGGAUGUAGUGUAUGGUUUUAGGGUCCAAGUUGCUGAGGUGAAGACAAACUCACGAAGCUGUUUCUCUAAUACAGUAGUACAGGAAUUCAUCAACCCAGAAAAAGAAUACAGAGAGGGCUUGAUGGACCUAAAUAUAUGGGAAAGAAUGAAUAGAAGACGAAGGUAUCAUGUGUAGCUUGAGGACAUGAGGUAGGAAACUAGUACUUAUAUAACUACUGUGUAAGAUUAACUGUUUUUCUGUUAGAUUUAUAGGCUCCUAUUAUAUGCCUUGUAUUCCGGCGCAUAAACAUGACUAGAUGAGGCCCACAACUCUGAA